rnacentral:lncRNA from 1 species
AUGUAUGAAUUAAAAAAUAAAAUUAAUAAUACACCUUAUAAAAAAAAAGAAUGGGUUAAAGCGAACAAUAUAUUGAUAAACCAAUUUCAGAUGGACAUAUGUAUGUAUAUAAAAAAAAAAUUAUUUAUUUAUUUUAAAAACAAUAUUGUUAACUACUUUUUUAUAUUAUUAAAUGAAAACCUAGCUAGAUGUAUAAUAAAUUAUUUUCCAACACAUAUAUAUAAUUGUACAUAUACAAAUGUAAAUUAUUAUUAUGAUAAAUGUGUGAAAAAUAUAUAUCAUUUUGAAUUUAUAUCAUUAGUUGAUUUAUUAAAAAUAUUUAUAUUAAAUUUUGGAGAUAGUUUUACGUUAUAUAAACAACUUAUUAAAUCUUUAUAUUUGCAAAAAAUUUAUAAUAUACAGAAAGCUUUGAUAUAUAUAAAUAAAAGAAACUAUUUAGUUGAUGUUUCUCAUUUAUACUCAAAAUAUAUUUCAAAUAAUUUAAUAUGCAACAAUAUAUAUUCCAAUUUAGUUUAUAAAGGUAUUUUUUAUAAAAAAAAAUUAUCGUUUUUCACUAAAAAAUAUCUUUUUAAUAAUGUCUUCGAUAUCGUUUAUUUAUAUCGAGUACAUUAUGCAGAAUCUAAAAUAGUCCAAGCAAGAAACAGUGAAUGUACAUUUAAAAAAUCAAUUUAUGCAAAUAAUGAUAUACGAAAACUGUUACAUCAUAUUGAUGUAUUAUAUAAUGAGGAACAAUAUAUGAGCAAUGUACAUUAUAACCAUGGUACUGAUGAAUAUGCUUUUUCUUGUUAUGACAAUGUUGAUUACGAACAUAAGAACGAUUACGACUAUAACAAUAAUAAUAAAAACAGUUACAUGUAUAACGAUAAAUAUAUAAAUAAUAACGGAGAUUACUCAAGUAACUAUACCUUCAUGCAAAACGGUAAUAAUUUUAAAAAACAUAACAAACAGAUGGUAGAAUAUCACAAUAACGAUUAUAAUAGUAAUAAUAAUAUUAAUAACUUAUUAAACAAUUAUGAUGAUACAAGUGAUUGUUCUAAUAAAGAAUGUAAAAUGUUUUAUUUUAACAAAAAGCUAACGAUUUUUGAUCUUAACUAUUAUAUUAAUAAUUUUUUAAGAGGAAACAUCAACUUAUAUGCAUGUAAUAAUUAUGUAUUGACUGAUACGAGUACGAAUACGAGUACUACCGAUAUUGACAACAUUGAUUUUGGUAGUAUGGAUAAUGAUAGUAGUAGUGAACAUACAACUACUAAUGAUACAACAUGUGUUAACAAACGUAGUAAAAAUAAACGUACUGUACCAUCUCAACCAAAUUCACAGUUUAAAAAAUCAAACAACAAUAUCACGUAUACGAAGUUAAAAAAAAAAAAAAAAAAAAAAAAUCAAAUACAGAAGUACCAGAAUCAAUAA